UUCCGAAGGUUAUUAUCUGGCUCUUAGCGACAGAGCCGUACGGACCGCCGGGCCGGAUGCAGGACGCAUCCGGCAGUCCUAAUCGACGCAUGGACGCGGCGUUUAGGGCGGUCGGCGGCCGUUAGGCGACAAGCAUAGAGCCAGUUAUAACCGUAGGGA
rfam:Peptococcaceae bacterium BRH_c4a BRHa_1002105, whole genome shotgun sequence.